rnacentral:rRNA from 1 species
GACAGAGGGUGCAAACGUUGUUCGGAAUUACUGGGCGUAAAGCGCGUGUAGGCGGCUAAGUAAGUCGGGCGUGAAAAUCCCACGGCUCAACCGUGGAAGUGCACUCGAAACUGCAUAGCUAGAGUCCUGGAGAGGAAGGUGGAAUGCUUGGUGUAGAGGUGAAAUUCGUAGAUAUCAAGCGGAACACCGGUGGCGAAGGCGGCCUUCUGGACAGUGACGUGACGCUGAGACGCGAAAAGCG